rnacentral:rRNA from 1 species
CCUACGGGAGGCAGCAGUGGGGAAUAUUGCACAAUGGGCGAAACCCUGAUGCAGCGACGCCGCGUGAGUGAAGAAGUAUUUCGUUAUGUAAAGCUCUAUCAGCAGGGAAGAACAUGACGGUACCUGAGUAAGAAGCCCCGGCUAACUACGUGCCAGCAGCCGCGGUAUUACGUAGGGGGCAAGCGUUAUCCGGAUUUUCGGGGUGUAAAGGGAGCGUAGACGGCUGUGCAAGUCUGGAGUGAAAGGCGGGGGCUCAACCCCCGGACUGCUCUGGAAACUGGACGGCUGGAGUGCAGGAGAGGGAAGAGGAAUGCGUAGUGUAGCGGUGAAAUGAGGAGAUAUUAGGAGGAACACCAGGGGCGAAGGCGGCUGAAUGGACUGUAACGGACGUUGAGGCGCGAAAGCGUGGGGAGCAAACAGGAUUAGAGACCCGUGUAGUC